UACAGAGGGGGCAAGCGUUGUUCGGAAUUACUGGGCGUAAAGGGCUCGUAGGCGGCCAACUAAGUCAGACGUGAAAUCCCUCGGCUUAACCGGGGAACUGCGUCUGAUACUGGAUGGCUUGAGUUUGGGAGAGGGAUGCGGAAUUCCAGGUGUAGCGGUGAAAUGCGUAGAUAUCUGGAGGAACACCGGUGGCGAAGGCGGCUCACUGGCCCGAUACUGACGCUGAGGCACGAAAGCGUGGGGAGCAAACAGG
rnacentral:rRNA from 1 species